GUAGGUGGCAAGCGUUGUCCGGAAUUAUUGGGCGUAAAGCGCGCAGGCGGUUCUUUAAGUCUGAUGUGAAAGCCCACGGCUCAACCGUGGAGGGUCAUUGGAAACUGGAGAACUUGAGUACAGAAGAGGAAAGCGGAAUUCCACGUGUAGCGGUGAAAUGCGUAGAGAUGUGGAGGAACACCAGUGGCGAAGGCGGCUUUCUGGUCUGUAACUGACGCUGAGGCGCGAAAGCGUGGGGAGCAAACAGGAUUAGAUACCCUGGUAGUCCACGCCGUAAACGAUGAGUGCUAAGUGUUAGGGGGUUUCCCGCCCCCCUUAGUGCUGCAGCUAACGCAUUAAGCACUCCGCCUGGGGAGUACGGCCGCAAGGCUG
rnacentral:rRNA from 1 species